UUGUGAGUAUGUAUUGAACACAAUUCUAAACAUAUCAACUAAAUAUAUGGCAACGUUUAGGUAAUGACUAGUCAGUAUGAAUGCAUGCCUGUUUGUUUGGUAUGUGUGAAAGAUAAACACAUACAUAUAUAUAAAUAUUAUAUAUGAUUCCAUGUUUCAUUAGUGUGGCGAAUACAAUUGUAUCUUAUUUUAUAUCAUAUCACUUGUAUAUAUAUAUAUUGUUUUCUUCAUACAUAUUUAUUUGUUAUGCAGAUCUGUGUUCAUUCCGGAGAAUAUCCUCCUUAACAGCUUGGGUACAACCAACCUGGCUUUUUAACACGAUCUUCCAGAAUAAAUGUAUCGGCCUCACAA